CAAGCCAUCUAAGCAUAUUGCGACUUCAAUAUUUGGGGUCUUCAUUUUUGCAUGCUGAGUUAUAAAGCAAAACAUAAAGUUUUUUUGAAUUUGUGGAUUUUUUGUUUUUCGCGUUGGAUGCUGAUGUUUGUCUUUUCCAUUGUAUUCCGUUGGUAAUAUUUUGGUGCAGCUGCUGAUCUGUUGUUGUGGAGGAACAAGAAGAUUUCAGCUGGUGUGCUUGGUGUAGCAACUGCAAUCUGGGUCCUUUUUUAAUUAAUGGAAUACCACCUACUUACUCUACUUUGUCACACUUUUAUUCUAUCUAUUGCACUAAUAUUCCUGUUUUCCAAUGCCUAUACCUUCAUCCACAAGACUCCACCUCACAUCCCAGAAGUUCAUUUGCCGGAAGAGCCAUUCCUCCUAGUUGCCUCUGCUCUUACACUGGAACUUAAUCAGGCACUGAAACUACUGCGAGAUAUUGCCUCUGGAAGAAAUCCAAAGAAGUUCCUUAUGAAGAACGCCAUCCAUGUUUUGGGUUUCAGGUUAUAGCUGCUUCCUGGGUCCUGUCAAUUGUGGGGAGUUGGUGCAACUUCUUGACCUUGUUCUACAUAGCUUUUAUAUUGCUGCAUAUGGUGCCGGUUUUCUAUGAGAAAUAUGAGGAGAAGGUUGACCUGUUUGCAGAGAAGGCGAUGGUUGAGAUAAAAAAGCAAUAUGCAGUUUUCAAUGUCAAAGUUCUGAGUAAAAUUCCAAUAGGUCCCUUGAAGACCAAGAAAGUUUAGAAUGCUUUGCACUGCAGCAACAUUUGGGUAGUCCUGGGGGUUUCAAGGGUGUGGUUGUAUUCUCUAUUCACAUUAGGUAGAGGUAUUAUUUCUCAAUCCUCGAUCAACUGUUCACAAAUGUUUUGCCUUGCAAUUCAGAAUAUAAUCGUUUAGGAGCAAUGAGUUGUUAACAAUAGACCGAACUUUUUACAUAUGGCUGCAACCCGAUUUUGUGUUAUAGCACGUAUUAUUUCUUGACCGGUUUGAUUUCUGGGAUGUUUUAC